UACGAAGGGGGCGAGCGUUGUUCGGAUUUACUGGGCGUAAAGGGCGCGCAGGCGGCAGACCAAGUCAGGCGUGAAAGCCCCGGGCUUAACCUGGGAGGUGCGUCUGGGACUGGUAUGCUAGAGUUCGGGAGAGGAGAGUGGAAUUCCCAGUGUAGAGGUGAAAUUCGUAGAUAUUAGGAAGAACACCGGUGGCGAAGGCGGCCCACUGGAUCGGUACAGACGCUGAGGUGCGAAAGCGUGGGGAGCAAACAGG
rnacentral:rRNA from 1 species